UCCUCAUCUGCAAAACAGUACUAACAACAGUGCCUACUGAAUACAGAGGUUGUUCAAGGGUAAAUGACUUAAAACACGUAAAUUAAUCCAUGGCAAGUGCUUCAGAUGAUGCCUGCCACAGAGGUAGCACAAUAGGAAUACUACUUGUAUCAGCAUUAUUUAAGGGGACAGAAACAACAUCACUUUAAAUAAAUACAUGACAAUUAAAAG